rnacentral:rRNA from 1 species
AUUGAACGCUGGCGGCAGGCCUAACACAUGCCAGUCGAACGGUAACAGGAAGACGCUUGCUUCUUUGCUGACGAGUGGCGGACGGGUGAGUAAUGUCUGGGAAACUUCCUGAUGGAGGGGGAUAACUACUGGAAACGGUAGCUAAUACCGCAUAACGUCGCAAGACCAAAGAGGGGGACCUUCGGGCCUCUUUCCAUCGGAUGUGCCCAGAUGGGAUUUGCUAGUAGGUGGGGUAACGGCUCACCUAGGCGACGAUCCCUAGCUGGUCUGAGAGGAUGACCAGACACACGGGAACUGAGACACGGACCAGAGACGUACGGGAGGCAGCAGUGGGGAAUAUUGCACAAUGGGCGAAAGCCUGAUGCAGCCAUGCCGCGUGUAUGAAGAAGGCCUUCGGGUUGUAAAGUACUUUCAGCGGGGAGGAAGGGAGUAAAGUUAAUACCUUUGCUAAUUGACGUUACCCGAAGAAGAAGCACCGGCUAACUCCGUG